rnacentral:rRNA from 1 species
AUUGAACGCUGGCGGAAUGCUUUACACAUGCAAGUCGAACGGCAGCACGGGUGCUUGCACCUGGUGGCGAGUGGCGAACGGGUGAGUAAUGCACCGGAACGUAUCCAAUAAUGGGGGAUAACGCACCGAAAGGUAGUGCUAAUACCGCAUACGCCCUCGAGGGGGAAAGGACGGGGGAGUCGUAAGACCUCGCGUUAAUGGAGCGGCCGAUGCCGGAUUAGCUAGUUGGUGAGGUAAAGGCUCACCAAGGCGACGAUCCGUAGCUGGUCUGAGAGGACGACCAGCCACACUGGAACUGAGACACGGUCCAGACUCCUACGGGAGGCAGCAG